rnacentral:tRNA from 1 species
CCUGCUACUAGCAGAAGCAUUCGACGCGUGGCGUGUUGUGCCACGAAUGUUCUUGGCACUCUAUGGUGCUAUGCUAUGGUGGUUGGU